GAAUUCACUAGUGAUGCAGGCCUAACACAUGCAAGUCGAGCGGUAGAGAGAAGCUUGCUUCUCUUGAGAAAGGCGGACGGGUGAGUAAAGCCUAGGAAUCUGCCUGGUAGUGGGGGAUAACGUUCGGAAACGGACGCUGAUACCGCAUACGUCCUACGGGAGAAAGCAGGGGACCUUCGGGCCUUGCGCUAUCAGAUGAGCCUAGGUCGGAUUAGCUAGUUAGUGAGGUAAUGGCUCACCAAGGCGACGAUCCGUAACUGGUCUGAGAGGAUGAUCAGUCACACUGGAAGUGAGACACGGUCCAGACUCCUACGGGAGGCAGCAGUGGGGAAUAUUGGACAAUGGGCGAAAGCCUGA
rnacentral:rRNA from 1 species